CAUCAGUUCUUCUACUGGACCAUUGAAUCAUGUAAUUUCUGUCAGGGGUGAAAGAUGAGAGGCUAGCGAAGCGGGAUGGCAGAGCUCACUGGUUUCACAAGCAUUCAGCCACCUUGAGCCCCGGAGGAUCCAAACAACUAAAUAACUACAACACACCGUAAAAAUAGCUGAAAUAGAAAAGCAGGAAUUUCCAACUGCGCCAAUAUGGCUUAAGACAAAUGCACCCAAAGCUAUACAUCCUGCCUCGAGGAUUAGCCGGACUUACGCUGUGGAAUGCUUACCAGAGACAAUGCAUGAUCCAUCUGUCUGCGGAGAAAGUCGUCACCUUUCCCUGAACUAAUCUCACAUGGCUGCAACAACAAGUCUCAGUUCACCUGUUGAUGGAAGGCUGGAGGCAGAUUUUACCCCUGAGUCGAACAUCAUCUUCGCUCUAUUCACCGAGGACCAGCAAAGGAGAUUUCACAUGGUGCAUCCAGCCCCUAAGGCAUAAUUUCAGAGAAGCCAUGAAGUUUUUUUUUUUUUUUUUUUAACUGAGUGAUAUACUGUUAUGUGCAUCUGUAUUCUUGUUUGGUUUGACUUCUCUUGUCCUCUGAAUCCAAAAAG